CAGUCGCCACGGUAACACGGAGGGUGCAAGCGUUAUCCGGAUUUAUUGGGUUUAAAGGGUCCGUAGGCGGAUCUGUAAGUCAGUGGUGAAAUCUCACAGCUUAACUGUGAAACUGCCAUUGAUACUGCAGGUCUUGAGUAAAUUUGAAGUGGCUGGAAUAAGUAGUGUAGCGGUGAAAUGCAUAGAUAUUACUUAGAACACCAAUUGCGAAGGCAGGUCACUAAGAUUUAACUGACGCUGAUGGACGAAAGCGUGGGGAGCGAACAGGAUUAGAUACCCGCGUAGUCCCUGUCUCUUAUAC
rnacentral:rRNA from 1 species